UGGUGGAGAUUGCCUCAGUGGUUCUCUGCAGACUGAAGGCUUCCGUACAGAACGUGGUUUAUGCCAGCUACUAAGAAGAAAAUUAACCCUAUUCCAGCCAAGACCAAGAUACCUGACUGAGACUGGGAGUAGCAGGAGAGGCAUCUACUACAACCACCUAAAAGAGAUGACUGAGCUACAGGGCUGGGAUGUGUUGGGAACCACCUCAAACAACAGCUCCACAGCUCCAGUAUCCCAGGCUGCAGUGGCCCAAAAUGAAUGCUGUAGAGUGGAGCAAGGCAGCCACUUGUCUAGGCUGCUUUCAACACUGAGUGGCUCCAAAGCAGGGAGGUCCUUCAAGCCACUUUUGUCAGUGAAAUUAACAACAAAAAAAAUCAAGCUACUGAAGUGUGGAGCUGGAGGCCAUCUCUGUAAUGAUCUGAGGCGCUCAACCCGUUAGAAGCUUAAUGCUUUCAUUUACAAGAUUGCUCCUGGAGGAAGACCUCCUGGUCGAACUGCUAUUGCUCCUUAAGAAAAAAAUGAAGUUUGUAAUCACUUUGGCUGCUCUGCUCAUUACUAGGAAAGGCCUUCAGCUGAGUGCAACGCUCAUCUUCUUGCUGUUGUUUUUAAACCUUCAGCCCAGCCAUAUUAGGAAUUCCAUUGCUGUGUAUAAGUUUACAAAUUCAAUUACAGAAGCUCCGAACUUCCACUUCCUUUGUAAAUGGGAAGCUUGAGGGCUGUGUUGUAUCACAAACUGCGACUGUAUCGAUAAACAGUUGGACAGAGCCCUGUUGGCUGGUUUGUAGCGACCGAUCAAUACUUUCACGUGGUUGACACUGCUCUUAUUACCAUUCAUCCUGUUUUUCCAUUAACUGGACUUUGUAUAUGUUGUAUAUAUUCAUUCUAAGGCCUGUCUUUAAAUAAACACUGUAAGGACGUGA